AACGCGAAGAACCUUACCUACUCUUGACAUCCAGCGAACUUAGCAGAGAUGCUUUGGUGCCUUCGGGAACGCUGAGACAGGUGCUGCAUGGCUGUCGUCAGCUCGUGUUGUGAAAUGUUGGGUUAAGUCCCGCAACGAGCGCAACCCUUAUCCUUUGUUGCCAGCGAUUCGGUCGGGAACUCAAAGGAGACUGCCGGUGAUAAACCGGAGGAAGGUGGGGAUGACGUCAAGUCAUCAUGGCCCUUACGAGUAGGGCUACACACGUGCUACAAUGGCGCAUACAAAGAGAAGCGACCUCGCGAGAGCAAGCGGACCUCACAAAGUGCGUCGUAGUCCGGAUCGGAGUCUGCAACUCGACUCCGUGAAGUCGGAAUCGCUAGUAAUCGUGGAUCAGAAUGCCACGGUGAAUACGUUCCCGGGCCUUGUACACACCG
rnacentral:rRNA from 1 species